rnacentral:rRNA from 1 species
UAGGGAAUCUUCGGCAAUGGGGGGAACCCUGACCGAGCAACGCCGCGUGAGUGAAGAAGGUUUUCGGAUCGUAAAGCUCUGUUGUUAAGGAAGAACGAGUGUGAGAAUGGAAAGUUCAUGCUGUGACGGUACUUAACCAGAAAGGGACGGCUAACUACGUGCCAGCAGCCGCGGUAAUACGUAGGUCCCGAGCGUUGUCCGGAUUUAUUGGGCGUAAAGCGAGCGCAGGCGGUUAGAAAAGUCUGAAGUGAAAGGCAGUGGCUCAACCGGGGAGGGUCAUUGGAAACUGGUUGACUUGAGUGCAGAAGAGGAGAGUGGAAUUCCAUGUGUAGCGGUGAAAUGCGUAGAUAUAUGGAGGAACACCAGUGGCGAAGGCGACUCUCUGGUCUGUAACUGACGCGGAGGCUCGAAAGCGUGGGGAGCGAACAGG